CUUUUCAUUUUGAUUUUAAUGUUUAACGAACUUUUCAAUUACUUUUGAACCAAUUCCAACAAUUUUUAGUGCCAUUCUACAUUUUUUUUUUGUUAUAACACUCGGCUAUCUAAUAAAGGCAGUAUCUUAAAUUUAUAAAACCUUUUAUUGUUAAAAAAAUAAACUUAUAAACCUUUUACUUGGCAAUACAAGGAAAUUGGAAAAUUAAAACUUGAAAAAGUUAUUGAGGGGCUAAACGAGGCACCUAUGAGUACAUAAAUUUUGAGUUAGAAAUGGUAGUACACUAAAAUAUUUAUUGCUUCAUCUGAAUAAGUAAAUAUUUUUAAUUGUAGACCAAUUAAUCAUUUACCAAUUUUAGUUGUAUACAUAUAAUAACACGACGCUUCUCUUAAAUAAGUUCCAUUCCAAGCUGACAAUGAAUCUCUCUGCUGCUCCUACAAACAACAUUGGCUAUGGAGAUAACAAGAUGAUUCCACUCAUAAAAAUUUUAAAGCCACAGAUGCAAAGAAGUGGUAGCCGCCAUUCCUUUCCAUACAGUUGCGGAUACAAAAAUUGGAGCCAAUUAGAGCGGUCGGUGACCGUUGACCACUCGAUUGUUGCAUUAAUGAAAUCGUUUAUUAAUAUUUAAACAAAUAAUAUUAAACAAUUCAAUUAAUAUAUAAAUGCUCUAAAACGUAAAUCAAAUAUUAACUAUCAUCGAGUUGCUUUUCCAAAAUCACCAAUUUUCACAAAUACUAACAGAUUCCAUAGGUCCACAGAUACUAACAAAAUCCUCAAUUUUCACGAAUUUCAUAGUCCACGUAUAUGAUAUCGCAUAUUCGAAAUUCACGAAGCCCAAAAUUUUCAUAAAUACUAUCAGCAGGCUCACAACUCACUAAGUUACAGACAAACUCACAGUAAAUGCUCAUAAAAACAUAAAUUCAUAAAUCAUAAUUGACUAUUUUAACUGAUAACUCAUAAUUUUAUAAAUAAUAAAUCAAUAAACCAAAUAGACUAACAACAACAAAAAAAAUAAAAUAAUAAUAAUAAUAAUUGAAGAGAGACAAGAGGUUCACCGCUCACGUCCCGCUAUUACGAAUGGAAUCAGUUACCGGCGAUGCAGUGGCCGAUGGCUCAACUUCAACGACUCCACAGUGGCUUAGCAUGUGUGCUAGCAGCAGAGGAUUGGGUUUGGAAAUUGGAAUUGGAUGGAAUUGUUUAAUUAUGGGUUUUAAGUGCCGAGGGCAUCUCUG
rnacentral:lncRNA from 1 species